CACGUAGGGCGCAAGCGUUGUCCGGAAUUAUUGGGCGUAAAGAGCUCGUAGGCGGUCUGUUGCGUCCGCUGUGAAAACUUGGGGCUUAACCCCGAGCCUGCAGUGGAUACGGGCAGACUAGAGGUAGGUAGGGGAGAAUGGAAUUCCCGGUGUAGCGGUGAAAUGCGCAGAUAUCGGGAGGAACACCGGUGGCGAAGGCGGUUCUCUGGGACGGUACUGACGCUGAGACGCGAAAGCGUGGGGAGCGAACAGG
rnacentral:rRNA from 1 species